UUGAAUGAACUUUGUUCAAAGAGUGAGUUUUCUCCUCUCUAAAUUCGUACGAGUUUCGAUCUGACUUAUCUAGCGUGCUAGUGGCGUCUAUCGUUCUCUUUUGAACUUAUCACCUUGCUUUGGUGUGGCGUUCAACCCUUCUACAAUUCCGCAAUCCCACCUUGAACUGAAUAGAAAUUGGGGUGACACUUUUUAGUGUUGAAUCGUUUCUGGCGUUUAAGCUCAUUUAUCCAUUCCACCGACUAUCCUAGAUUUUACCCAACUAUAAUAUCUUUUUACAAAACCGAGCCUUCAUUUAUCAACUUCCAUUUUUCUUAUUUUUAUCCUUAAAUCGAGCCUACUACCCUUAUAAAUUUACCAUCACCUUAGCCAACCUUUAAAACCAUUUGAAAGCUUCCGCAUCUUUAGCCUUAUUUCAUCCUAUUUCCGAUAACUCAACUAUUCCUCGUCGACGAUCGGGCAAUCAAGUGAAUCGACUCAAUCAACCGAGCCGGAUCACAUCACUAUUCGACCAAGAGUGAUCAAGUUUUUCAUCCUUUCAAGCUUGGCCGAUUCUCUUCCCAAGGGCGUAUAAAAGCUGUUCACACUAUGUCUAUUCGGUUCAGCCAUGUUCACACUUCAAGGCUCUUCAAAACUGUCCAUUCACACUUCUAAAUGGCUGUUCAAGUUGCCAAUUAAUGCUGGUAAUUUUUCAUCAAUAGUUGCUUCAUGAAUGACCUCAUUAAACUCCAUUGGCCGAAUGUAGCUGCUGCCAUUUUUUUUUCCAAGUUCAUUGAAAGCUCUUCCUUGGUCUCUAUUCAGCCGAACCUUGAUGCAAGCAUAUACAUGAAUUUAAGCUGAAUUUUUGUUCAAUUUUUGCUUAGAAAUUAAGUCUAGAAUAUGUCCAUUCGGCUACUAGACAUUAGACUAUAAAUAGUUGCUCAAUUUCUUGUAAAAGGACUUUUGACAAAUUUCUGAAUGAAAUAUCAUUUUAGUGAGGCAAUUGAUACGACCCCGCCCCGGAAACAUUUUUGGUUCAGCUCAUUCGAGCUCAAUUCAGCUCAUUAAGCUCGUUAUUAGCUCACUAGCUCAUUUAAUUUAAUUUGCUGGAAUAAAUUAAUUAGUUAAGUUAGUUAUUUUAGCUUAAAUAAUUACUAAGUAUUUAAUUAAGAAAUCUGGACAUUUUAAAUAUGUUUUAUUGGUUUUAAUGCAUGCUUUAAAUUUGUCUUAAGACUAUUUAAAUGUGUUCUAUUUAGUACAGCUUUUAAUGUGUCUGGACGGAUUUAAUGCUGUUGUUUAAUGUGUCUUUAGUGCUUUAAAGUGCCGAAUUUAAUAUGUCUAAUUGUUGACUUAAUUCAGCCGAAUUAAUGAACCACUUUAAGGUGUCUUGUGGCUGCCGAAUUUAAUUGUAAUGUGCAUGAAUUAUUUGACCGAAUUUAUUUUGUGUCUGCAGGUCAUUGAAUUCGGCUAAAUGGCAAAGGAAACACGCAUUUAAGGAGAUGUUCCCAUGCAUGGACGGCAUUAAUUAGUUGCUGGAGCUUGCAUGCAUGGCCGAAUUUAAUGAGCAGCAAGGGAGAUGUUCCCAUGCAUGGAACGGCAUUUAAAGGAAGCAAAGACAUGGAUUUAAUGAGAUGUUCCCAUGCAUGGACGGCAUUAAUGAAAGCAUGCAAGGGGGACGUUUUUGAAUGCCAUUAAAGCUGGUAUUGCUUCGG
rnacentral:lncRNA from 1 species